rnacentral:rRNA from 1 species
GACGAACGCUGGCGGCGUGCUUAACACAUGCGAGUCGAACGGAAAGGCCCUGCUUUUGUGGGGUGCUCGAGUGGCGAACGGGUGAGAACACGUGAGUAACCUGCCCUUGACUUUGGGAUAACUUCAGGAAACUGGGGCUAAUACCGGAUAGGAGCUCCUGCUGCAUGGUGGGGGUUGGAAAGUUUCGGCGGUUGGGGAUGGACUCGCGGCUUAUCAGCUUGUUGGUGGGGUAGUGGCUUACCAAGGCUUUGACGGGUAGCCGGCCUGAGAGGGUGACCGGCCACAUUGGGACUGAGAUACGGCCCAGACUCCUACGGGAGGCAGCAGUGGGGAAUAUUGCACAAUGGGCGGAAGCCUGAUGCAGCAACGCCGCGUGCGGGAUGACGGCCUUCGGGUUGUAAACCGCUUUCGCCUGUGACGAAGCGUGAGUGACGGUAAUGGGUAAAGAAGCACCGGCUAACUACGUG